rnacentral:tRNA from 1 species
GGGCGGUUAGCUCAGCCCGGUUAGAGCGUUUGCUUGACAUGCAAAAGGUCACAGGUUCGAGUCCUGUACCGCCCA